AGGGCAGUGGCUCAAUUGGUAGAGCUCCGGUCUCCAAAACCGGCGGUNNCGGCCUUGAGCGCUUUGGCCUU
rnacentral:tRNA from 1 species